UACAGAGGAGGCAAGCGUUAUCCGGAAUUAUUGGGCGUAAAGCGUCCGUAGGUGGUGGACGGAGUCGGCUGUCAAAGGGUGGGGCUUAACCGCAUAAAGGCAGUGGAAACUGGUGAGCUAGAGUGCGGUAGGGGUAAGGGGAAUUCCCAGUGUAGCGGUGAAAUGCGUAGAGAUUGGGAAGAACAUCGGUGGCGAAAGCGCCCUGCUGGGCCUGCACUGACACUGAGGGACGAAAGCUAGGGGAGCGAAAGGG
rnacentral:rRNA from 1 species